rnacentral:rRNA from 1 species
UACGUAGGCGGUCCAAUAAGUCAGUGGUGAAAUCCUGCAGCUUAACUGUAGAACUGCCAUUGAUACUGCUGGACUUGAAUAUAGAUGAGGUAGGCGGAAUGUGUUGUGUAGCGGUGAAAUGCUUAGAUAUAACACAGAACACCAAUUGCGAAGGCAGCUUACUAGACUAUUAUUGACGCUGAGGUACGAAAGCGUGGGGAGCGAACAGGAUUAGAUACCCUGGUAGUC